rnacentral:rRNA from 1 species
GUGGGGAAUCUUAGACAAUGGGCGCAAGCCUGAUCUAGCCAUGCCGCGUGAGCGAUGAAGGCCUUAGGGUUGUAAAGCUCUUUCGUGGGGGAAGAUAAUGACUGUACCCCAAGAAGAAGCCCCGGCUAACUCCGUGCCAGCAGCCGCGGUAAUACGGAGGGGGCUAGCGUUGUUCGGAAUUACUGGGCGUAAAGCGCACGUAGGCGGACUGGAAAGUCAGGGGUGAAAUCCCGGGGCUCAAACCCGGAACUGCCUUUGAAACUCCCAGUCUUGAGUUCGAGAGAGGUGAGUGGAAUUCCGAGUGUAGAGGUGAAAUUCGUAGAUAUUCGGAGGAACACCAGUGGCGAAGGCGGCUCACUGGCUCGAUACUGACGCUGAGGUGCGAAAGCGUGGGGAGCAAACAGGAUUAGAUACCCGAGUAGUCC